AAUUAAUGAACUUGUAAAAGUAUAUGUUUUGAAAACAUAAAAAAGAGAAUUAAUCCUCUAUUAAUUU
rnacentral:tRNA from 1 species